rnacentral:rRNA from 1 species
GAUGAACGCUGGCGGCGUGCCUAAUACAUGCAAGUCGAGCGAACAGGCGAGGAGCUUGCUCCUCUGUCGUUAGCGGCGGACGGGUGAGUAACAUGUGGAUAACCUACUUAUAAGACUGGGAUAACUUCGGGAAACCGGCGCUAAUACCGGAUAAUAUAUUGAACCGCAUGGUUCAAUAGUGAAAGACGGUUUUGCUGUCUCUUAUAGCUGGAUCCGCGCCGCAUUAGCUAGUUGGUAAGGUAACGGCUUACCAAGGCAACGAUGCGUAGCCGACCUGAGAGGGUGAUCGGCCACACUGGAACUUGGACACGGUCCAGGCUCCUACGGGAGGCAGCAGUAGGGAAUCUUACGCAAUGGGCGAAAGCCUGACGGAGCAACGCCGCGUGAGUGAUGAAGGUCUUCGGAGCGUAAAACUGUGUUAUUAGGGAAGAACAAAUGUGUAAGUAACUAUGCACGUCUUGACGGUACCUAAUCAGAAAGCCACGGCUAACUACGUG